CUGCUUUCUUCAGCAGCACAUAUACUAAAAUUGGAACAAUACAGAGAUUAGUAUGGCCCCAUGCAAGGAUGACUGCAAAUUCUUGAAGAAUUACUUUAAUUU
ensembl:snRNA U6 U6 spliceosomal RNA